UAGGGAAUCUUCCGCAAUGGGCGAAAGCCUGACGGAGCAACGCCGCGUGAGUGAUGAAGGUCUUCGGAUCGUAAAACUCUGUUAUUAGGGAAGAACAAAUGUGUAAGUAACUAUGCACGUCUUGACGGUACCUAAUCAGAAAGCCACGGCUAACUACGUGCCAGCAGCCGCGGUAAUACGUAGGUGGCAAGCGUUAUCCGGAAUUAUUGGGCGUAAAGCGCGCGUAGGCGGUUUUUUAAGUCUGAUGUGAAAGCCCACGGCUCAACCGUGGAGGGUCAUUGGAAACUGGAAAACAUGAGUGCAGAAGAGGAAAGUGGAAUUCCAUGUGUAGCGGUGAAAUGCGCAGAGAUAUGGAGGAACACCAGUGGCGAAGGCGACUUUCUGGUCUGUAACUGACGCUGAUGUGCGAAAGCGGGGGGAUCAAACAGG
rnacentral:rRNA from 1 species